rnacentral:lncRNA from 1 species
GGAAAUGUCCCUUAAUUGUUCGGUUAGGUGUAUGUAGUGCCCGCGCCGGACCGGGGUGGGGCGGUUUCAGCACCGGACAGCUCCGCCGGCUACGCCUCCGCCCAGCUCCCCCGCCGCUCCGGCUUUGCGCGCUGCUAUGGCGCCUACUGCCGUGCGUGAGCGUAACUAUUGCGGCGGCCGUUCUGCUUGUCGUUUGCCUUUUUUGGCUAAUUAGCAAAUGUUUCGUGCUGCUGAUGCGAAUGCUUCAUUGUGUAGCGGAGAGAAACUGGAGAAAAAUGAAUAACUGUUAUUGUUAUGCAUGUUUUCUAACAUCUGAUCAGGAUAUCAAAGCAUAUAACAAUAAUAUCUUUUUUUAUUAUUUGUAUCUGUGUUUUGCUAUUAAGCCAUCUGAUUAUUCAUGCUGCUGAGUGUGUGUGAAUAAAUAUGUCAUGUUUUGGACGGAAGUGGGAUGGCUGGAAUAAACACGAGGAGGCCGGAACGUGGCUAGAAAUGUGCGACCUGCUGCCUCUUUCUCUCUUGCUUCCAUUGGUGAGAGCACUGAAAAUGAAAAGUGGCUGGAUCUUCAAGCAGGACAAUGAUCCCAAACACACCACCCGGGCAACGAAGGACUAUAUAGAGAGUCUAUUGUCCAAGAAUCUAGAAGUCCAUGUGGCCCAGCGAACUCAAAACUUCACAGCUCUUGAGAAAAUCUGCAUGGAAGAAUGGGUCAAAUACCCAUUACCCCAAAUUGGCAUGACAUACAGUACAGGCCAAAAGUUUGGACACACCUUCUCAUUCAAUGUGUUUACUUUAUUUUCAUGACCAUUUACAUAGAUUCUCACUGAAGGCACCAAAACUAUGAAUGAACACAUGUGGAGUUAUUUACGUAACAAAAAGUGGAGACCUGGCCUCCACAGUCACCGGACCUGAACCCAAUCGAGAUGGUUUGGGGUGAGCUGGACCGCAGAGUGAAGGUAAAGGGGCCAAAAAGUGCUAAACACCUCUGGGAACUCCUUCAAGACUGUUGGAAAACCAUUUCAGGUGACAACCUCUUGAAGCUCAUCAAGAUAGUGCCAAGAGUGUGCAAAGCAGUAAUCAGAGCAAAGGUUGGGUAUAAGAAACUAGAAUAUAAAACAUGUUUUCAAUUAUUUCACCUUUUUUUGUUAAGUACAUAACUCCACAUGUGUUCAUUCAUAGUUCUGAUGCCUUCAGUGAGAAUCUACCAACGUAAAUGGUCAUGAAAAUAAAGAAAACACAUUGAACGAGAUGGUGUGUCCA